GAUGAAGAACGUAGCGAAAUGCGAUAAGUAAUGUGAAUUGCAGAAUUCAGUGAAUCAUCGAAUCAUUGAACGCACAUUGCGCCCCCCAGUAUUCUGGCGGGCAUGCCUGUUCGAGCGUCAUUUCAACCAUCAAGCCCUGCUUGUGUUGGGGUCCUGCGGCUGCCCGCAGGCCCUGAAAACCAGUGGCGGGCUCGCUAGUCACACCGAGCGCAGUAGCACAUCUCGCUCAGGGCGUGCGGCGGGCUCCAGCCGUUAAAGCACCCACCUUUCGCAAGGUUGACCUCGGAUCAGGUAGGAAUACCCGCUGAACUUAAGCAUAUCAAUAAGCGGAGGA
rnacentral:misc_RNA from 1 species